GAUGAACGCUGGCGGCGUGCCUAAUACAUGCAAGUCGAGCGGUAAGGUUCUCACAGUUUGCUGGCAUUCUUUUUAAUAAGAUCGAGCAAAGUGUGAGAAUACACGAGCGGCGGACGGCUGAGUAACGCGUAGGAACGUACCCAAAGUGAGGGAUAAGCACCGGAAACGGUGUCUAAUACCGCAUAUGAUCUUCGGAUUAAAGACUAUUUUGUCGCUUUGGGAGCGGCCUGCGUAUGAUUAGUUAGUUGGUGAGGUAAUGGCUCACCAAGACGACGAUCAUUAGCUGGUCUGAGAGGAUGAUCAGCCAGACUGGGACUG
rnacentral:rRNA from 1 species